CUACGGGAGGCAGCAGUAAGGAAUAUUGGACAAUGGGCGAGAGCCUGAUCCAGCCAUCCCGCGUGCAGGAAGACGGCCCUAUGGGUUGUAAACUGCUUUUAUAAGGGAAGAACAGCACCUAAUGAUAGGUGUAUGACGGUACCUUAGGAAUAAGCACCGGCUAACUCCGUGCCAGCAGCCGCGGUAAUACGGAGGGUGCAAGCGUUAUCCGGAAUCACUGGGUUUAAAGGGUGCGUAGGCGGUUACGUAAGUCAGAGGUGAAAGGUCACAGCUUAACUGUGAGAUGGCCUUUGAAACUGGUAGCUUGAAUCGGAUAGAGGUUAGUGGAAUGCGACAUGUAGCGGUGAAAUGAAUAGAUAUGUCGUGGAAUACCGAUUGCGAAGGCAGCUAACUGGGUCUUGAUUGACGCUGAGGCACGAAAGCGUGGGGAGCGAACAGGAUUAAAAACCCUGGUAGUCC
rnacentral:rRNA from 1 species